GCAGUGGUAGCUCAGCUGGAUAGAGUAACCGGCUACGAACCGGUCGGCCGGGGGUUCGAAUCCCUCUCACUGCACCA
rnacentral:tRNA from 2 species